UUUCUUGUGCUAUUGGGUUAUGCAUCUAGGGAAAUGGUCUCCUGCGAAAUGAUUGUGUAAUGAAUGAUCAGACUAGUCGUUUGGCCCAUCGCAGCCCCAUUAUGUACAGUUUCUGCUCGUGAGAAAUAAAAGUGAUGCUUGGCUCUGAAGCCUAUCCCACAACUCUCUGUCAUGGCUUGAAACAUGCCGCUAAGAGGUGAGGAACAUUAUUUGCUCUAACUAGUGAUAGACUGAACUGUUGAUUAUUAAUAUGUGCAAUGGCUUGUUGAGUACAAUGCGGCUUUGGCAUCCAUCUGCUUCAUGAUUUUGCUUGGAUUUGUAGAUGAUGUCCUCGAUGUCCCUUGGAGAGUGAAAUUAUUAUUGCCAUCAAUUGCUGCUCUUCCUCUGUUGAUGGCCUAUGCUGGACAUCCAACUAUAGUUAUACCAAAGCCUCUCAUUCCCUAUCUUGGGCUUGAGUUUUUGGAUCUAGGUUUUGGUUGUAGGUGGUGGUGAUGGUGGAGUUCUUAGGGAAAUCUCUCGCCACAAUACUAUUAUAUAAUUCCGAACGCCAUAAUUAAGUGAUCCCAUAGUUAAGCUUGAAGUUGCUCUUAAGAUUUUGUUGAGGGAAUAGUUGAUAUGAUCGAGCGGUUGAUGUUGGGAGCCAAAGAUUAUGUUGCUCUUC